GGAACAUCCUCGCGGCCCGAGGCGCGGUCGCAGCCGGGGAGCACUCGCCACGGUGCUGUGGAAUUCUCUGGUUUUUCACGCAAGGUCAGGCGUCCUGCUGGCGCCCUCUCGCCACCCUGCCCUCCCGUCAGAAGCCCGGCUCCUCGCCGGGGAAGGCCGGAUGCUGGCCCGCCGGGACCUGGGACUUGUGCCACAUGGAGUGUCGGGAGUCUCCAUUGCCGCGAGUUCUACACCACAGGGCCAGGCUGUUUGCUCCCCAUCGGUCGCUGCCCCCAGCACCCUGUUGUUAUUAAGGACUCAUUUGCUUGGAGCGGCAUCAUUACAAGGGUGUGGGGUCGCGGCUCCUUUGUCCAGGACUACGCAGGGGCUUGACCCCAGGGCGCUGGUUUAGGCCGGAUCUGGGGUCCCUUGUCACUCCCAGGCUUCUUCCACUUCCGAAUUCUGGAGAACCGGGAAUCAAGCCCUGCGCGUUCCUCUUCUUCCUCCUUCGUGCCGAAAGCACGCUUCAUGUCUGCCAGGGCAUCAGUUCUGAAACACCAGAUACUGCUACACCAUCUCAUCGGCAUGGACCUAUAUGUGGCAGCAAGUCCAUCUCAUCGCUUUUGGUGAAAGUCAGUCCAGUUUGUAAAGAUUCUCAUUGUCACUGUAGACGAGGAACUGGGACACCAAAAGGAGAAACUCUGGCCACGCUUGCACCCUGUUCCCAAUCCUGGUCCAGUGUCACCCACAGAUGGUAAGGAGCUCUAGAGACCUCACCAGCCCCUGGGAUUGGUCACCUCACUCUUCUAUGGACAGAGAUUCCUGCUGGGAUCCUUUGAGGGCAAGCAGACCCUUCUUCCAGCUCGGACUGUGAACUCCACUGCAGCCGUAAGGACUGUCUGUGACAGUGAGCCCGAGAUGACUGGGCUCUGUGCUCCCUCCCGGCCCUCCAAUCCUUGGCCUGCCACAGAGAACUGAGCUCUUUUAUUAGCACCAUGAAUGUGACUGAUACAGCUAGCCAUUCCCUUGUGCGAAUGACUCAGUUUAUUAAUGCUCUGCUAAAGAUGGCUUCUUUGCUUGCCAGCAGCCUUAAACAGUAUUUCAUUAAAACUGGCUUAAUUAUUUUGAGAAGACGGCCCAAUUAAAAGCUAUACACUCCCUCUAUGUGAGUGUUUAUACAUAGAGCUGUAUAUAUAAUACAUAUUUGUAAGUGUGUAUAUAUAUAUGUGUGUAUGUAUGUGUCUAUAAAUAUAUAGGCUUAGCAAUUUCAUUACAUGGGAUAAAUUGUUGGAAAAAAUACCCAGGAGCUGGUCCCCUUUCUGUUGCUAGAUUCAGAGUAGAGGCCACCCCUCCACUCUGGGAGAGGCUGGUGUUGGUGAUCUCUCAAUGACUCUGCAAUGGAAGUCCCAACUGCACAGAGCCCUGCCCCAGUUUCAGGAGCCAGCAGCCUCGGAGAGGCGGAUCCUGACCUCUGCUCUGCUCUUGGGAUAGCCUUUCCCUUCCCAGCAGGGUUGAGAUACUUGGGCCGGGAAAUGUUGUGGCAAAGUGUUUGCCAAAGCUCAGGAGAGACACAGACUUGGGGCUUUUGUUUCUUGAGCUGGCUGUCUAGCUUUCCUAAUGAGCAAAUAUGUUCUCUUUAAGGAAACAAACAAACAAAGCAAAAACACCAAUUCAUCUGGAUUUUAUUCAUUUGUUUUAAAUACAAACAAACAAAAGGAGAGUGGUUAUUUCUGCACCAACUAUUUCAAAUGCAAGUUACUCCAUCGCUCGGGGUGGUUGGAUGGUGCUUGUCACCAUAGGACCCACAGGGCUAGUUCCAACUGUUAUUCGGUAAGGCUUUUUUCUUUCCAAAAUUCCCAGUGUUCCUUUAAGGCCCAUUUAGCUGCGGGUUUUGUUUAUUCUCCCGGCAAUCAGCAUUUAAAAUAAGACAAACAAGCAUUUUUUCCUGGGCUGUGAAUCCCCCCGGCCAGCCUCCACCUGCACACCUGAAGCCAGCAUGUCCAAUCAAAUUUCUCUGUAACCCAUAUCCCCUUUAGAGACUUGCCCCCGUCGUAUACCAGGCUGGAAAUAGAGAACUUAAGCAGGGCAAAUGUAAUUUUAAGAAUUGCUAAUGAUGCUAGAAAUCUGCAAUGCAAUUAGCGUCAUUGGAUUUGGCGCUCCUCCGAAGGCACAAAACUCCUUGUCAUAGCGCAGUGGCAGCAGCGGCAAGUGCCUCCGCAUGUGCCGGGCUGUCCGGGUAUGCUGGCAGCCGCUUUGCACUGAGAUGUGAGCAGUUGGUUAGGCUUCCUCUCUUUCUUUCUCACAGAUACUGACUUCUUUGUCUCUUUUCUGGGUUGCAGAGGGAUGGGUAUUUUCCAUUGAUUAUUACUUUAGCAUUUGACCCUCCAGUGGAGUCACCCUGUUUUUUUUUUAGAAAACUGAGACUCUCACUUUGUGAAUUCACUGUGCUCUCUGGGAUUUCAGUGCUGUAGUUCAACCACCAAUCCCCCUGUCCUGAACUCCAGUACUUCUGAUGCUAUUAAUUGGUUCCUCAACAAUUGUGGCCUUUUCCAUCAUUGCCCACCAUAGUAUAUACUUUUUCUUUCUCUCUCUUUUUUCUAAUUUCCUUGUCUUCUUCACUCUCCAUGGAGCCAGAGGUAGUAUGAAGAGUUAAAAAUAGGAAUAUAAAGAAAGCCAGAGGGACAGAGGGAGUGAGAAAGAAAAAUUUUAAAAAGGGAGGAAAUGAAUUAUUGGAUUAAAAAUAAACUUUUACUUUUUUGCAGAAAAAUUAUUUUUGCUCUCUGGGAAAAUAACAUGGGCCAGGCAUAAAAAGCAUGUCAGCUGGCUAAAAGAUUGCAAAAUCCAGAAGAUGAUCUCGAUGUGUCUGUUCAAUUUAGCAAGGGUAUCUACUAGGGGAUCCUCUUUUAAAUAUGGAGGCCCAAAUCAGAAGCUUGUAGAGGGGAGCUAUUCUUCCAAGAUUCCAGAUGUGUCUGUGAGACAACACGUUAUGGGGCAAAUUGAUUUCACCCUUGGGAAACCAGGGAGAUUUUCAAAGUUAUGUCUGCAAAGCCAGCUAAUGCAAUUCCCCAUUAGUGCAUUAAAGUGCGCCCUUAUUAAUUCAAACAUAAAGGCAACAAAAUAAGCUUUUAAAUUUAAAAUAUAAUACAUAUAUAAUGAGCAUGUGUGAAAGCCUUAUUCAAAUGAAAAUACAGGAGUGUUUGAACUACUGAGGUAUCUUUUGUAUUGAAUUAUGAGCAUAUGUAAUAGAUUUAAUUAUUAAUUUCCCCAUUGUUCUAUGCACACAGACAGGGUUCAAGGCACAGUCAUUCUCUGGCUUUCAUAGAUCUAAUUUGUAUAAUUAUUGCCUGAAUAAAAAAUUGCUCCAAAAAAAAAAAAAAAAAAAAAAAAAAAAAAAAAAAAAAAAAAAAAAAAAAAAAAAAAAAAAAAAAAAAAAAAAAAAAAAAAAAAAAA
rnacentral:lncRNA from 1 species